GACGAACGCUGGCGGCGUGCUUAACACAUGCAAGUCGAACGGGAAGGCCCUGCUUUUGUGGGGUGCUCGAGUGGCGAACGGGUGAGUAACACGUGAGUAACCUGCCCUUGACUUUGGGAUAACUUCAGGAAACUGGGGCUAAUACCGGAUAGGAGCUCCUGCUGCAUGGUGGGGGUUGGAAAGUUUCGGCGGUUGGGGAUGGACUGGCGGCUUAUCAGCUUGUUGGUGGGGUAGUGGCUUACCAAGGCUUUGACGGGUAGCCGGCCUGAGAGGGUGACCGGACACACUGGGAUUGAGAUACGGCCCAGCCUACUACGGGAGGCAGCAGUGCGGAAUAUUGUAUAAUGGGCGGAAGCCUGAUGCAGCAACGCCGCGCGCGGGAUGACGGCCUUCGGGUUGUAAACCGAUUUCGCCUGUGACGAAGCGUGAGUGACGGUAAUGGGUAAAGAAGCACCGGCUAACUACGUG
rnacentral:rRNA from 1 species